rnacentral:rRNA from 1 species
AUUAAGCCAUGCAUGUGUAAGUAUGAACUAAUUCAAACUGUGAAACUGCGAAUGGCUCAUUAAAUCAGUUAUAGUUUGUUUGAUGGUAUCUACUACUAGGAUAACUGUAGUAAUUCUAGAGCUAAUACGUGCAACAAACCCCGACUUCUAGAAGGGAUGCAUUUAUUAGAUAAAAGGCUGACGCGGGCUCUGCCCGUUGCUCUGAUGAUUCAUGAUAACUCGACGGAUCGCACAGCCAUCGUGCUGGCGGCGCAUCAUUCAAAUAUCUGCCCUAUCAACUUUCGAUGGUAGGAUAGUGGCCUACCAUGGUGGUGACGGGUGACGGAGAAUUAGAGUUCGAUUCCGGAGAGGGAGCCUGAAGCUCAUCCCACUCAAAUCCUACAGAAGCUGCAAUCG